UACGUAGGGACCAAGCGUUUGUUCGGAUUUACUGGGCGUAAAGGGCGCGUAGGCGGCUUAACAAGUCACUUGUGAAAUCUCUGGGCUUAACCCAGAACGGCCAAGUGAAACUGUUAUGCUAGAGUGCAGAAGGGGCAAUCGGAAUUCUUGGUGUAGCGGUGAAAUGCGUAGAUAUCAAGAGGAACACCUGAGGUGAAGACGGGUUGCUGGGCUGACACUGACGCUGAGGAGCGAAAGCGUGGGGAGCGAACAGG
rnacentral:rRNA from 1 species